rnacentral:lncRNA from 1 species
GCAAACACAGAGUUUACGCUUGAUAGAAACGCCAUAUUAUGCGAAAGUCGUUGGAGCAAAUACUCUGAAAUCGAUUACUAAACUUGCGAUCGUUAUUGGUGCACCCAACUCUAAACGUGCUGAUGUGUUGCCAGGAUCUCGCAGCAACGUCUGCUUUAAAAACACUGACUUUGCUUCUGCAAGGAGUUUAAACGUAUUUAACAAUAAAGUAGGUAUUGAGUUCGAUAAUAAUAAGCAACGCAAAAACAUCAUGUCGAAUAUAUACUAUAACUAUUAAUAUCAAAAACGCAUUUCUCGGGAAGUCGAGCUAAAUGAUUUAUUGAGUGUUAUCAAAGCCCGAAAUCCUAUUGCAAGCGCCGAGGCCAAAAUUGAUGAUGAAAUAAAGAAACGAUUAAUGCAACGAAACAAGAGAAGUUCAGGAUCGGACAGGAAAGGCGUCAAGUGAACUUAUCAACAAAUAUUUGACCCCAUCCACGGCGAAUGGGACAAAGAAUUGAAAAUUCUCACUAUAAUAAUACCUUUAAAAUUGCUCGAUAAUGGAGAAGAUUCGUUUCAUAUCGAGGAACAGUCGCAACUGGCAAUUAAAAAAAUGAAUUUUCAAUUUGAAAACGAAAUGGGGAACUGCUCACCGCUUGAAGGAUCGUUUCUUAAAGAAUAACAAAAAAUGGCUGAAUAAUUCAAUUGAUGUUACGGUCGUGUUUCUCGAUGCAAAACCGAACGUGACUGAAAGCUCGUUGGAUACCACUUAGUCAAGGAACAGCGGUGGAGGACCGGGAUUAUCUUUUGCCGAGUCUAGUGAACGAUCGAAACGCAGAAAAGUGAGUAAGUUGCGAGAAGAACACGGCACGGAUGAGCUAUCAUUGGCUGUGAGAAUGAGUCUUCGCUCGGAAGGUGCAGUGGCAGCUGCUAAAGUUAUCGAAGACGUCACAACGAAAUCACCAACACGAGCUGAUAAAUAUAGAGCUUCGAUGAACAAAACUGAAGAGAAAAAAAUGUCUCCAGAUGUUGCUCCUGCUCUACUGCUCGAGUCUACAUUAACUGAAGCGCAAUAUCAAAAUAUACGGAGCACUGCAGUAGCUUGCAAUAGUCACAUUUUCCAUCUUACCGAGAUGUUUUGCGAGCUAAGAAAUUUUGUUACCCGCAAGAUAUGAAUAUCUCGGAAACCUGCACAGAAUUUCCAUUACAAUCCCUUUUAAAUCACACCUGUUCCAGAAUUAUACAAAUGAAACAUAAUGUUAUCGAUCAGCUUGAUGCUGACAUUUGUAAAAACCUAUUGUUGGUUGUAAAGUGGGGAUUUGAUGGAAGUUCUGGGCAGAGUGAGUGCAAACAGAGUCGAAAGAAGCACCGAUUCCAACGUUUUGUUGACUUCUCUCGUUCCCCUCCAACUUAGCGAUUUUAAUGCAGAAACUCAUUCAAACAACAUUGGCAAAAUCCACGCCCUUCCUCGCCCUGGUUUUGUAGACCUAUUCGACUGCAAUUCAAACGCGAGACUAAAGAAUCGACAAUUGAAGAGAAGCGUUUUGUUGACGAGCAAAUAACAUCUCUUACAAAAUUUGAUACUUUUCAAGAUAAUAAAAGUAUAGGCGUCAAUUUUAAACUCACUUUUACAAUGAUAGACGGUAAAGUUUGCAAUGUCGUUACUGAAACAACAUCAUCGAUGAGAUGCUAUUUGUGCAAAGCUACUUCAAAAAAUUUCAUGACAUUGAAGCUAUGAAAGAACUUGUCGUCGACACUUCCAACUACCAAUACGGUUUAUCUACUUUGCACUGUUGGAUACGUUUCUUUGAGUGUCUUUUGCAUGUAGGAUACAAAAAAGAAGUUGAAAAAUGGCAGUCUCGAAGUGAAGAAGUGAAACAAUCGCUUGCUAAACGUAAAGCCGUGAUUCAAAAGGCGUUUAAAGAUGAAUUGCAUUUGCUUAUUGAUCAUCCCAAGCCAGGAAUGGGAAAUUCGAAUGAUGGAAACACGGCGGGACGUUUUUUCGAACAUUCCACUGUUUCAGCUAGUAUUUUGGGUAUUGAUCUUGAACUAGAUGAAAGAUUCCACAUAAUUUUGCAAAUUUUGUCGAGUGGCUUUAAUGUGAAAGUGCAAUUAUUCGAAAAAUACUGUCACGAGACUGCCCAGUUGUUUAUGUCAAAAUAUCAUUGGUAUAAAAUGUGCACAAGGUACUAAUUCAUGGACCCAAGAUCAUCGAGGCAUCAAUUAUGCCAAUAGGGCAAUUGUCAGAAGAAGCGCAGGAGUCACGGAAUUAGGAUGUCAGAAACUAUCGAUUGGGUUUUUCGCGAAAAUGUUCCAGAGUCAAGACCAUUCAGGAUAUUUUUAUGCGACUCCUCGCUUCUUCAGAUCCCCUUAUCUCCAGUAUGAGAAAAUCUCGGCCAAAAUAAAGGCAAAAAUUUGUCUCGUGAAGCGCUUCAACUUUUAGCAUUUGAAAAGGGUGACGAUAGCGAUGAUAGCGUGGGAGAUAGCAGUGACAAUGUUACAGAUGAAUGUGAUAGCGAUUAGCAUAUUUCUUUAAUGUAUCUACUUUGAAACAGUAGCGAAACAAUGUCUUUUUUUGUUGAUGAAUACGCUAAUAAGUCGUCAAAAAACAAGAAAUAAAAAUUUUCUAAAUGCCCGUCCUUUCCCGCCAAUUUCCUUUGUCAUUUUCGUAAUCAGCGACCCAAAAAACACUUAUAAUAUGAAUUACAGCACAAACGCACGAUUUUUUGCGAAAAAUUUCCGCCAUUUUUCGUCCGCCAUUUUGAACUUUAAAUUUUAUUUGUCAUUUUCGUAAUCAGCGACUCAAAAAACUAUAAAUCUGAAAAUUUGACAAAAAUCCAUUCACUUUUGUGGUUUUGGCCAAGAAUUUGGGAUUGCGGACCACUGUGCGUCGGAGCCAUAGAAAGCUCAAAGGCUAAUAACGGACACGUUCAUUCAGCAACAAAAUAUACUCCAGCUUAUAUAUGACCGUAUAAAAUCAUUUAAGUUAAGCGCAACUGCCGAUACGUAUAUUCAUAUUUCUUUUAUUUUAAUACUACAUAAUUCCAAUGUGAUACAAUCAAAUUCAUUUAUAUUGUAAACAUUACAAGUAAACUUAUCUUUCUACAUAAAUUUUUUUAUUGUGCUACUGAAUUUAGUACGCUGUACGGAGGCUAUAUACGUUGACGACGUUUUGAUGUUAUCCAAUGAUGAAAAGUCUACGCAGGGUAUUUAGAACGAGUUAUUAUUUCAGUUUGCGAACGAUUGCAUUGUCAUCUACUAAAGCAUUUUGAUAUAAAUUUAUACGAGAGAAGCUGGAGAUUAGAUCUGUAAAGUUGAAAUACAUUUCUACGAAGGAAAUUCUGGCACAUGGCUCGACGUAAGUGGUACAAUUAGUAAAUUACAAUUAGUAUAUUAUUGUUAUUAAUUUAUUAUCUAUUGUAUGUGGAUAUUAGUAGUUAUAAAAUAUGAUAUAUUUUAGUAAGUAUUUGCCAGAUGUUGUAUUCUAGGCUUCAUAGCAUUUAACAUGCUCUCUGGCUCUGCAAGCGUGGCAUCGCUACCCGUGAAAAGCUCGGUUUUUCUGUAGAGCGUGGCUUUGUCUUUUGUACGGGGUUUCCCGUUUUUCCUUACGGUCUUACGUUUGUCUGCGUGUGACCUCCCCGAGCUCGUCAGCCAAAGUGCCAUCAGACACGGUUUACUCCAACAUUGCCCCUUUUUUUUUGGCAGAAGGGUACUUUAAGACGAAGAUAAAACACAACAGGAGUAUUCUCAACUGUAUUUACACCAUCAGCUCACUUACGAUGCGAUCGGAAAGGCGUCCCAGGGUUUAAACAGAACGGAGGCAAUAAUACUCAGAUAACAGAUUUCCAAUACCCCUGGCUCAGAACGAAAUAAUCAAAUCAGAAAGUCAAAAUAAAGGUCAUUGAUGGAAGGAGUCAAAUUAACCCUCACCUUGCUCACUCAAUGACGUGCUCAGUGCCGCAGAUCAGACGUCGAGUUGUGCAUCACUUUUUUUUCGUGGAGUAUGCUUAGAUAUAGCACACAUUUAAAUAGCGAGUCAUUUCUUAAAAGACCUACGCCUGGUCGCAGCUGGUGCUUCCAGCGCUUUAC